UACGUAGGGGGCAAGCGUUGUCCGGAAUCAUUGGGCGUAAAGAGCGUGUAGGCGGCCUGAUAAGUCGGCUGUGAAAGUCAAGGGCUCAACCCUUGAAUGCCGGCCGAUACUGUCAGGCUAGAGUCCGGAAGAGGCGAGUGGAAUUCCUGGUGUAGCGGUGAAAUGCGCAGAUAUCAGGAGGAACACCUGUGGCGAAGGCGGCUUUCUGGGCCUUACCUGACGCUGAGACGCGAAAGCGUGGGGAGCGAAACGG
rnacentral:rRNA from 1 species